GACGACGACGACUCCCGCGCGUGUGCCCAGCCUCUUCCCGCCGCAGCCGCCCUUUUCCUCCCUCCCUUACGUCCCCGAGUGCGGCAGUACCGCCUCCUUCCCAGCCGCGCGGCUUCCUCCAGAUCUCUCGGCGCGGGUGAGCCCUAUUCCCAGAGGCAGGUGGUGCUGACCCUGUAACCCAAAGGAGGAAACAGCUGGCUAAGCUCAGCAUUGUUACUGGUUCCCAGAGAGAGGGCUUCUUGAAAAGCAAGUAGAGCAGAAGACUGGUGAGCACGGUGUUUCCCAGCAUCUCCACAGUGCCAGCACAGAGGAGGACACUCAAGAAAUGUUUGUUAAGUGGGCACCAUGUCCUUGAAGCUUCAGGCAAGCAAUGUAACCAACAAGAAUGACCCCAAGUCCAUCAACUCUCGAGUCUUCAUUGGAAACCUCAACACAGCUCUGGUGAAGAAAUCAGAUGUGGAGACCAUCUUCUCUAAGUAUGGCCGUGUGGCCGGCUGUUCUGUGCACAAGGGCUAUGCCUUUGUUCAGUACUCCAAUGAGCGCCAUGCCCGGGCAGCUGUGCUGGGAGAGAAUGGGCGGGUGCUGGCCGGGCAGACCCUGGACAUCAACAUGGCUGGAGAGCCUAAGCCUGACAGACCCAAGGGGCUAAAGAGAGCAGCAUCUGCCAUAUACAGUGGCUACAUCUUUGACUAUGAUUACUACCGGGACGACUUCUACGACAGGCUCUUCGACUACCGGGGCCGUCUGUCGCCCGUGCCAGUGCCCAGGGCGGUCCCUGUGAAGCGACCCCGGGUCACAGUCCCUUUGGUCCGGCGUGUCAAAACUAACGUACCUGUCAAGCUCUUUGCCCGCUCCACGGCUAUCACCACCAGCUCAGCCAAGAUCAAGUUAAAGAGCAGUGAGCUGCAGGCCAUCAAGACGGAGCUGACACAGAUCAAGUCCAAUAUCGAUGCCCUGCUGAGCCGCUUGGAGCAGAUCGCUGCGGAGCAAAAGGCCAAUCCAGAUGGCAAGAAGAAGGGUGAUGGAGGUGGCGCCAGCGGCGGCGGCGGUGGUGGUGGCGGCGGUGGCGGUGGCAGUGGUGGUGGCGGUGGCGGUGGCAGCAGCCGGCCACCAGCCCCCCAAGAGAACACAACUUCUGAGGCAGGCCUGCCCCAGGGAGAAGCACGGACCCGAGACGACGGCGAUGAGGAGGGGCUCCUGACACACAGCGAGGAAGAGCUGGGGUUCUGGUCCUGGGGGAAAGAGGGAAGAAUGAGCAGGGGGCACUUGCCUAUCUCAGACACCAUCAGAAGUCCCACUGAGGCCUAGGGCAGACCUCCCCCAAAUGCGGGCACAUUCUGGCCUCCGGUUUCCACAUGAGUUGGAGAAUGGGAGAUUCGGACAUAAGGGAGCACACACGGCCUGCAGAGCUUCAGAGCAGGGCUGGGGUGGCUUGUGGAGGCCACAGCCAGGAGGAACACAGCCAGGACACAGACGCGGAUGAUGGGGCCUUGCAGUAAGCAGCCUGACAGGAGCAAUGGCCACCAGCAGGUGAAGGGCAUCGCUGCCCCAGGCCUCAAGCCGGGCACCCAACCCUGGAUGCCACCCCCCAGCGGGUACCAGAGGAAAGCUGGCAGCAGGCGCCUCCUCCCCCAACGCAUCCCAGCCAGUGCCAUGUCCUCUGCAGGUGGAGUUACUGGCCUACUCCUUCCCCACGAGCCCUCCCUGUCUGCACUGCCCAGGCCAGAGGGUAGAGCACAGGGGUUUCCCCAUACUGCCUCCCCUCCCCAGGACACUCCCAGGCUUGGGUUUUUUCUAUAGGUUUGGCGGGGGGCCACAGGGAGGGGACCCUGAUAAUAAAGAGAUUGGAUCCCAA